GGUGGUUUUGGUGUCCAGUUCCCUGGAGUCUGGACUGGGAGCCACAGACAGCUCAGGGUCUGCCUGUCCCUUAUACUCUGCUCCCUACCCUUCCUUUACCUCCUCCCCCUCCCAAGCCUGACUAAUUCCAGAGGGUCAUGCUGUACAUGAUGGGGGCUAUUCGAGGGAAGAAGAAAGAAGUCGGCCUGAGUGAUGGAUACAUUUGGAAAACGUGAGCAGUGUACCAGCUGUGGAACUUUCCCCUCCACGAAGGGCUAAGUUGAUGAAAAGAAAACCAAAGUCAGGACAACUAUAACAUUCAGAAGAAAAAUACUUGUGCAUGAAGAUACCAUCUCUGAGAACAUUCCACUUACUACAGGCUUGCUUUCUGGGGAAGCACAUCUAGUCUCCGAACACUCAGAGGAAAAGAUACUUGUGCCUGAAAACACUGUUUCUGAAAACAUGGCUGUUACUACACAAUUACUUUCUGGGGAAAUGCAUCGAGUGUCCAAGCACUCAGAGGAAAAGAUCCUUGUUGCAGGAGACACUGUCUCUGAGAACUUAACAGUUACUACAAAAUUACUUUCAGGGGAAUCACAUCUAAUCUUAAAACAUUCACUAGACAAGACAUUUGGGGUUGAAGACACUGUCUCUGAGAACAUUCCACUUACUAUAGGCUUGCUUUCUGGGGAAGUACAUCUAGUCUCUGAACACUGAGGAAAAAAUACUUGUGACAGGAGACACUGUCUCUGAGAACUUAACAGUUACUACAAAAUUACUUUCAGGGGAAAUACAUCUAUCUAAUCGUAGAACAUACACUAGACAAGACUUUUGGGGCUGGAGACACUGUCUCUGAGAACAUGCCGGUAACUAUAAAAUUGCUUUCUGCUGACACACAUCUAGUAUUAAAACAUUUUGUAGACAACACAUCCGGGGGCUGGAGACACUGUCUCUGAAAACAAAUCGGCGACCACAGGCUUACUCCCAAUGGAGUAUAGUCCUUCAAGACAAGACGCAAUCUUUAAUGAAAUCGAAGACUUUCAAACAUUCCUGAUGAAAAGACCCGAGCUGAAUAGAAAAUCACACACAAGACUCAAGAGGACCCAAAAAAGGUAAACAUGAAAUAGAAAUCAUGAUGGACUCAAGAAGGUUAACUUGUGUAGCCUUCUAUAAGGGAAAAUAAUUUAUGCAUUUUUCAGAAUUUCAUCAUUAUUAGGAAGUUAGAAUGGCUCUACAGAGCAGAAGGGUCUGGGAGGGAGUUGAUUAGGUUGAGAUGAUCAAAAUGGAUAGGUGAGAAAGAGGGAUGCAGUGGGAGAAGGGGAAAGAGAGUGAAAGAUUGGGGGUGGGGGGGAGAAUUGUCUUAAGUAAAAGAGAUGCCCCAGGAAGAACUUUUACAAUGGAAGGAAAAAUGGAGGGUGGGUUGGGCAACAUUUGAACUUCAGUCACAUGUAAAGUGUUUCAGAAAGGAAAAAUUCAUAUACAUACUCAAUUGGCAAUACAAGUCUCUCUUACCAGCUAGGGAAGUAGGGGAGAGUAAAGGGGUAAGAGAAAGGGGAGUCAGAACUCGGGGGGGCAGAUAAAAAUGGCAGAGUUCAGAAGCAAAACAUUGAUGGAGGGAAAGGAUAAAAAGCCAGGGAGAGAAAAGGAGAGAGAGAGAGAGAGAGA